AAUGUUAAAAAGGAAGAGGAAAGAAGCUGUUUGCAGAGGUGCAUCCACUCUCUUCCACUCUUGCUAUGCUCGGUGAUCAAAUGGGAGCGGUCUUUCUCAUGUUUCUGCUCCUCAUUUGCCUCCUGCAUGUAAGAUUAUAACAACAUCUGCUCCGAACCUCUGUAGGCAUCUACACAAAGUAUUCCCGUGAGUACAUUUCAGUUCUGUCCUGCAAGGUCACCCUUCCAUCCUUUGUGAGGCAUCUGCUUUUCCAACCCACUCCGCUUUCUCCAGGCAACGUUCUCCCGACGCCUGCCUCCCUCAGUGGGUUGAUGUUCUGUUUAAUUAGUUUGGCCUCUCGCACCCGGCCGGGGGAAGUUUGAUUAGAGACUCAGACAACACUUCUGUUCCUUCAGCCUCCGGUCCUCCCAGAGCACACACCCGAUGGAAGGAGAAAAAAAUGCCCUUUCCUACAACUCCAGCCAGCCCGUCCUGCUUGGACCAUCCACGCUGUUCUGCCACCCUUGGAAUUCUCCCAUCGUAGGUGGUGUGUUGUCUGCCUGGGAGCUCCUGCAGCCCUGCCUGCGUGGAGGAACAAGGAUGUGAUAAUACCGGGCCCUGGAGCUGCAAAUGCAGAACGAACCAAGGAGUAAAAGAAUUGACAAGACAAGCAGUGGUGGGAAAUGGAGGGAAGACUGUG
rnacentral:lncRNA from 1 species